rnacentral:lncRNA from 1 species
GUCCAUGGGGACAGCUAAAGGACUUACUAUCUUACCCUGAUGGCCAUCUCUCAUCCAAUAGGACUCAACCGUUAACCAGUAAGAAAUGGCUCAGCUCUUCCUGACCACCUGCCCCUCAGGCUCUCUUUCUGGAAGCUGGCCUCAGAGUGGCUAACACCCUCUGGUUCUCCUGGGAUUUCCUGGGCUAUGUAAAGCUCAGUGGUAAAACCUAGCUGGGAAGGGGGUCCCUGAGGCCUCACAGAGAUGUUGGUGUUGAGGGCUGGGAUUCAGGCCCUCUGCUCCUCUGCAGGUGAGGAUACACUCAGGGGAGGAAUGAGGGAUACCAGGAAGUCAGACUCCAUACAAGGUGACCACAGAUGAGUGCAACUGUCCUGUAUGUGGAGAACGAUCCAGUUCCCCCAUUGUACCAUGGGAAAGCAUGGGCCAGUGCCUUCAGAUGGGAAAAGGCACAUCACCUGACACCCAGAAGUGGAGGGUACCCCUUUCUCCUGCUAACUGCCAUCCACUCAAUAGCUGGAGAGGAAGGCCCUGUGGACCUGUGUUCCAAGGGAAGCUUCCCUUCUGUGGGGCUGUUCUAAAAACCGAGAGAAACACCGUGCUUGUGGCUGAUGUCCUGCUCCGGGUGGGUCCUAUCUGGUCAUUGUUUCCCAAGUAUGAUCUCCAUCAAACCAACAGUUGCUUGCUCUUUAUUGAAUAGGACAUUUUGAUUUGAUCAUGUAGCCUUUGAAAACACUGAGGUCCUGAAAUGAAACUACACUGGCUGUAGGGUCAAGCAUACAGCUUGAUUCUUAUUGAAGCAUAUAAAUAAAUGUCGAAACUGAUAAGCCA